GUGUGCGAUCAUACCAGCACUAAAGCAUCGGAUCCCAUCAGAACUCUGAAGUUAAGCGGUCCUGGACGAGAGUAGUACUAGGAUGAGUGACCCCUUGGGAAGUUCUCGUGUUGCACUCC